UUCCUACGGGGGGCAGCAGUGGGGAAUAUUGGACAAUGGGGGAAACCCUGAUCCAGCAACGCCGCGUGGAGGAUGAAGGUCUUCGGAUUGUAAACUCCUGUUAGGGGGGACGAAGGGAUGCCGGCGAACAGUCGGCAAACUUGACGGUACCCCCAGAGGAAGCCCCGGCUAACUCUGUGCCAGCAGCCGCGGUAAUACAGAGGGGGCAAGCGUUAUUCGGAAUUAUUGGGCGUAAAGGGCGCGUAGGCGGCCUUGUAAGUCUUGGGUGAAAUCCCUCAGCUCAACUGAGGAACUGCCUCGGAUACUGCAGGGCUUGAGGCCGGGAGAGGGUAGUGGAAUUCCCAGUGUAGCGGUGAAAUGCGUAGAUAUUGGGAGGAACACCGGUGGCGAAGGCGGCUACCUGGACCGGUUCUGACGCUGAUGCGCGAAAGCGUGGGGAGCAAACAGGAUUAGAUACCCGAGUAGUCC
rnacentral:rRNA from 1 species